rnacentral:rRNA from 1 species
CUGAAUAUACCGGUUCUCGUUCGAUCACCGAAAUCAAGCAUCAUUGGGCGCGGUCAGUAGUUUGGAUGGGUGAUCACCUGGGAACACCGCAAGU